AUUGAACGCUGGCGGCAUGCUUUACACAUGCAAGUCGAACGGACUUAGGGGCUUGCUCCUAGGUUAGUGGCGAACGGGUGAGUAAUGCAUCGGAACGUACCGUGUAGUGGGGGAUAACGCAGCGAAAGUUGUGCUAAUACCGCAUACGAUCUACGGAUGAAAGCAGGGGAUCGCAAGACCUUGUGCUAUACGAGCGGCCGAUGUCGGAUUAGCUAGUUGGUGAGGUAAAGGCUCACCAAGGCGACGAUCCGUAGCGGGUCUGAGAGGAUGAUCCGCCACACUGGGACUGAGACACGGCCCAGACUCCUACGGGAGGCAGCAGUGGGGAAUUUUGGACAAUGGGCGCAAGCCUGAUCCAGCCAUGCCGCGUGAGUGAAGAAGGCCUCGGUUGUAAGACUCUUUUGUUCAGGGAGGCGAAAUACCUGUUUCCUUAACUACGUAAA
rnacentral:rRNA from 1 species